rnacentral:rRNA from 1 species
UGGGGAAUUUCCGCAAUGGGCGAAAGCCUGACGGAGCAAUGCCGCGUGGAGGUGGAAGGCCUACGGGUCGUCAACUUCUUUUCUCGGAGAAGAAACAAUGACGGUAUCUGAGGAAUAAGCAUCGGCUAACUCUGNGCCAG